rnacentral:rRNA from 1 species
GAUGAACGCUGGCUGCGUGCCUAAUACAUGCAAGUCGAGCGAACAGACGAGGAGCUUGCUCCUCUGACGUUAGCGGCGGACGGGUGAGUAACACGUGCAUAACCUACCUAUAAGACUGGGAUAACUUCGGGAAACCGGAUCUAAUACCGGAUAAUAUAUUCAACCGCAUGGUUCAAUAGUGAAAGACGGUUUUGCUGUCACUCAUAGACUGAUUCGCGCUCCAUUAGCUAGUUGGUAAGGUAAAGGCUUACCAACGCAACGAUGCGUAGCAGACCUUAGAGGGUGAUCGGCCACACUGGAACUGAGACAAGGACCAGACUCCUACGGGAGGAAGCAGUAGGGAAUAUUCAGCAAAGGGCGAAAGCUUGACGUAGCAACGCCGCGUGAGUGAUGAAGGUCUUCGGCUCGUAAAACUCUGUUAUUAGGGAAGAACAAAUGUGUAAGAAACUAUGCACGUCUUGACGGUACCUAAUCAGAAAGCCACGGCUAACUACGUG